rnacentral:rRNA from 1 species
GACGUAGAGCGCGAGCGUUGUCCGGAUUUAUUGGGCGUAAAGAGCUCGUAGGCGGCUUGUCGCGUCGACUGUGAAAACCCGUGGCUCAACCAUGUGGUCUGCAGUCGAUACGGGCAGGCUAGAAUUCGGUAGGGGAGACUGGAAUACUUGGUGUAGCAGUGAAAUGCGUAGAUAUCAAGUGGAACACCAGUGGCGAAGGCGAGUCUCUGGACAUUUCCUGACGCUGAGGCACGAAAGCUAGGGGAGCAAACAGG